rnacentral:rRNA from 1 species
CCUACGGGAGGCAGCAGUGGGGAAUAUUGCACAAUGGGGGAAACCCUGAUGCAGCGACGCCGCGUGAGUGAAGAAGUAUCUCGGUACGUAAAGCGCUAUCAGCAGGGAAGAAAAUGACGGUACCGGACUAAGAAGCCCCGGCUAACUACGUGCCAGCAGCCGCGGUAAUACGUAGGGGGCAAGCGUGAUCCGGAUUUACUGUGUGUAAAGGGAGCGUAGACGGCAGCACAAGUCUGGAGUGAAAUCCCGGGGCUUAACCCCCGAACUGCUUUGGAAGAUGUGCGGAGGGAGGGCAGGAGGGGGAAGCGGAAUUCCUAGGGUAGCGGGGAAAUGCGGAGAUAUUAGGAGGAAAACCGGUGGCGAAGG